UCAAGGGAUAGUUUAAUUAAAAGAUUCCGGUUUUGGGGGCCGGGGAUGAAGGUUUGAGUCCUUCUCUUUUGAU
rnacentral:tRNA from 1 species